GACGAACGCUGGCGGCGUGCUUAACACAUGCAAGUCGAACGGAAAGGCCCUUCUCUUGUGGGGUGCUCGAGUGGCGAACGGGUGUGUAACACGUGAGUAACCUGCCCUUGACUUUGGUAUAACUUCAGGAAACUGGGGCUAAUACCGGAUAGGAGCCCCUGCUGCAUGGUGGGGGUUGGAAAGUUUCGGCGGUUGGGGAUGGACUCGCGGCUUAUCAGCUUGUUGGUGGGGUAGUGGCUUACCAAGGCUUUGACGGGUAGCCGGCCUGAGAGGGUGACCGGCCACAUUGGGACUGAGAUACGGCCCAGACUCCUACGGGAGGCAGCAGUGGGGAAUAUUGCACAAUGGGCGGAAGCCUGAUGCAGCAACGCCGCGUGCGGGAUGACGGCCUUCGGGUUGUAAACCGCUUUCGCCUGUGACGAAGCGUGAGUGACGGUAAUGGGUAAAGAAGCACCGGCUAACUACGUG
rnacentral:rRNA from 1 species